UACGUAGGUGACAAGCGUUGUCCGGAAUUAUUGGGCGUAAAGCGCGCGCAGGCGGUCCUUUAAGUCUGAUGUGAAAGCCCACGGCUCAACCGUGGAGGGUCAUUGGAAACUGGGGGACUUGAGUGCAGAAGAGGAGAGUGGAAUUCCGCGUGUAGCGGUGAAAUGCGUAGAGAUGUGGAGGAACACCAGUGGCGAAGGCGACUCUCUGGUCUGUAACUGACGCUGAGGCGCGAAAGCGUGGGGAGCAAACAGG
rnacentral:rRNA from 1 species